rnacentral:lncRNA from 1 species
AUGGGGUCUGACUUAAGUCAAAAGACGGCAGGGCGUCCUUCCCAGGAGGAGCCUGAAGGCAGUGACACAGACCUCAAGGACUCCAGAAACUUGACUCUCCCCUCUUGCCCAGAGGGUUUACUUCUCUCUGCAAGAUUCUGCCUGGAAAGAGAUCUCUCUCAAUAUCCUCUGCUGACCCUUGGCAUCCUCACAGACAGCAGAGAACAAAGACAAGCAUUAGACCUGCCCUCCAUGCACAUUUCCUGCAGACACAGCUCCAGCCGACAGCCAGCAGGAGACAGGGCAGGAAGUGCAGAUGCCUUCCUCCGGAGACCUCAGGGGGCAUGUCUCCAGAGACCGCCUGCCUUAUCCCUCCCUCCUGAAGAAGGCCUUCUGAGCCUGCAGCAGCCUUCUUCCUUUCUCCAGCUAUCCACCUUUCCGUGGGCCUCCCCACCACUGUUGUUGUGGAGUCGCUUCAGUUGUGUCUGA